rnacentral:lncRNA from 1 species
CCUGUCGUCGCCCCCGCGCCUGGGAUGCGGCCUCUCGGGUCGUAGUCACCCUCGCCCGCGCCUCCGCCCACCACCGCCCCGUUCCCGGUCGCUGCCGCCACCGCCGGGGCUCAUGCGGGACCCGCGCCGCCUUCUCCGGAAGCCGGGCCGGGACACGGCGCGCCUGGGCCGCCGAGAACCCGACGCUCGUCGCCAGCCGCCGCUGUCGGUGCGCGCCGAGGGGUUGCGGAGCCGCCUGGCAGGGGCUGCAGGCCGCGAGCGACGCCGAGGAGGCGCUGAGGGUCGGCGGAGGCGAAGCUAAGCGGGCAGCGGGCGGCUGCGCAGCGGCGGGGCGCACGAGCGAGGGCUGGGUGGUGCGUCGCGGUCUAGGCGGAGAGGGAGCGGGCCCUGUCGUCUCCCAGAGUCACCCCGAUCCCAGCGCCACCAUCUUGGGAGGAACACUGAUCUCGCGACCGCGGCGCCAAACGGGAGGACGGGCUGGGCGGGCCGAGUAUCCCGGCAGGCAGCGCGCGCCGCCCGGCCGGGCGAGGGCUUCAAGCCGAGACGCGAGGAGUCGGGGCCGGACGGAACGCACGCGGAGGGCGCCGCGCUCGGCCCCACCCCCGGCCAGCUCGCCCCCCUCCGGCUUCCCGUCGCCCCCGGCGCAGGGGCGGCUGGGAAGGGGAGAUGAGGGCUCGCGGCUCGGCCGAACCCACCGGGGCCGGCCGCCAUCUUAGGACUGGGCAAAGGGGUUAACACUCACCUCACUCUGUGCUGUCGGUGGCCGAGCAGAAAGAACCAGGCUUUCUGCUAGAUGCCUGAGUUCAAAGAAUGAAGGCCCAGUGCUCACAGGACAAGCAGAGAAGGAUGUGCAAAGGUUCCCACUGUGGACAAUGGGAGCAGAAAUAGGAUUCACAGAGAAGAGAAGGUUUGGAGAGAAAGUGGCACAUUCUGACUUGGAUAUAAGGACUCACAUCUCCAAAGAGCUGUCUACAUGGUGAUGUCUGAUAAACAACCUGUGGACUGGGAGGACAAGCUGGAUGUGGUGGCACAUGCCUGUGAUCCCAGCACUCUGGAGGCUGAGGCAGGAGGAUCGCUGCAAGUUUGAUGCCAGACAGGGUUACAUAGUGAGUUCAAGGCCAGCCUGAACUACACAGCAAGACCCCGUCUCAAAAAAACCAAACCAAAACAAAAGAAAAACCACUGGGAAAAGACGUAAUUUGAUACAAACAGAAGGUGCAGAAGUGUCCCUGGAGCAUGUUUAAAGCCAGCCCUUUAGACAAUGCCCAAGAAAGUCCAGAAAGAAAUGAACCAAGUAUUGUAAUGUGCAAUGACGCUGAGGGCCAAAUUAUACUUAAUAUGAAUUUUGAGAAUCAAUGUAGCAAAAUUUCUCCAGAAAUUCUUGGACAAGAAAAUGAAAAAAGGGGUGGUCAGUGGAAAGAGCAGCAAUGGAGAUUCUGAAUUGAGGUGAAGACCUCCAUUCCCUUGGAAGCGGGCCUUCAGGGGCCAGUGAUGCUCCCUCCUCCCUCUCACCAUCUACCCCUUCUUUACAAGUGAGCAGACAGGGCUGUCAGCCUGAGUCAUUCUAGAGAAGCUCCUAUUCGUAUUCCUAUUCCUGGUGGUGGUUUCCCUGCUACGCCUCGGUCUCCUUGUCUUAUACCAGUGUCCACGCUGCAGAAGAGGGUGUUGCCUUAAUUAGGGGUAAGGAUUGAAUAAGCUGUACCAGCGAUGUCUGCCAAUGCUAACAAACCAGCAAUGUAUAGUGGUGAUAAUGCUCACAGUUCUACUCUGCUGGUGAUCCAAUCUUGUACCAUGUUCAUAUAUACCAAGCUACCGGUCUAACCUGUUUAGACUCCUGGAGAAUUUAAAUGGCCCAAGGUGAAAGUUCUGCCUUUUGGAAGUCCCAGGAGGGACUCCUGUUUAACAGAGAAGAUUGUAAUUAUCCUAAAGAUGUGGCUGCGUGCAAGGGUCUUUCCUCCUGAUGCUUCCUGAUGCCAGGAAACAAACCUGUGGCUUCUAAAAGACCUGUAGGAGAAGUUCUGCUGCUUGGUAGGGCACUGGCUUCAAAUCCCUAUUAUUCAACCCUCUUCCUCUUAUCUUGGCUUUCCCGUCUGCUCUUUCCUCUCUCUCUCUUGGCUUGCCAAGUUUGGGCUUAGUCAGUGCUGUGGUGUUAACACUGCAGCUCAUAAUGUGCCAGCUCACGCUGACUCAGAACCAGAGAGUCAGAUCAGUGCUGUACCCAGAAUGGAGACAAAGGCAGGGCAGAGACAGGAGGCAGGGAGCUUCCUGAGUGCCUGUCUUUGUUCAAGCGUCUUGCUGCUGCCUGAGGGGAGAGGGCAGGGAGAAUCUGAGCGGUGAUGGGCUCCCAGGAGGAAAAUGCUGUGUUAAUAAAGAGGGAAGACUGCAAGUUUUACUCUGUGUGUUCAUUUGUAUGUAUGUAUUUUAAAAUGCC